CCUACGGGAGGCAGCAGUAAGGAAUAUUGGUCAAUGGACGCAAGUCUGAACCAGCCAUGCCGCGUGAAGGAUUAAGGCCCUCUGGGUUGUAAACUUCUUUUAUAGGGGACGAAAAAAGGGCAUUCUUGCUCACUUGACGGUACCCUAGGAAUAAGCACCGGCUAACUCCGUGCCAGCAGCCGCGGUAAUACGGAGGGUGCAAGCGUUAUCCGGAUUUACUGGGUUUAAAGGGUGCGUAGGUGGGUUGGUAAGUCAGUGGUGAAAUCUUCGAGCUUAACUCGGAAACUGCCAUUGAUACUAUCAAUCUUGAAUCAUCUAGAGGUAAGCGGAAUAUGUCAUGUAGCGGUGAAAUGCUUAGAUAUGACAUAGAACACCAAUUGCGAAGGCAGCUUACUAUGGAUGUAUUGACACUGAGGCACGAAAGCGUGGGGAUCAAACAGGAUUAGAUACCCUGGUAGUCCACGACCUAACGAUAGAUACUACGACAUUAGUUGAUAUACUAUAAGUAGUCUGAGCGAAGACAUUAAGUUAAUACCACCUACGGAAGGUACGACCGCCGAAGGUUAGUAAACGUACGAAACGGAAAGUUAGUACGGCGUGAGACGUGCCGACGGACGACGACGAGGGAGGAGG
rnacentral:rRNA from 1 species